UGGGGAAUUUUACACAAUGGGGGAAACCCUGAUGUAGCGACACCGCGUGAACGAAGAAGCCUUUCGGGGUGUAAAGUUCUGUCAGCAGGGACGAAAAAAAUGACGGUACCUGCAGAGGAAGCAUCGGCUAACUACGUGCCAGCAGCCGCGGUAAGACGUAGGAUGCAAGCGUUGUCCGGAUUUAUUGGGCGUAAAGAGUUCGUAGGUGGUUCAUUAAGUCUGAUGUAAAAGGCGCGGGCUCAACCCGUGUAUCGCAUUGGAUACUGGUGGACUCGAGUGCAGUAGAGGCAAGCGGAAUUCCCAGUGUAGCGGUGAAAUGCGUAGAUAUUGGGAAGAACACCGGUGGCGCAAGCGGCUUGCUGGGCUGUAACUGACACUGAGGAACGAAAGCUAGGGGAGCAAAUGGGAUUAGAUACCCCCGUAGUCC
rnacentral:rRNA from 1 species